rnacentral:pre_miRNA from 1 species
AAUAAACACAACCAUAAAUUUCUGUGCCCAAUUUUAAUUGUCCGUUUUAUUUAAAUUUUUAUGAGUAUUAUUAUUAUUAUUAUUAUUAUUAUUAUUAUAAAAUAUAAAUAGUACUUUAUGCGUGACUUAUUUUUCUUAGUUUUUUCAAAAAAAAAUUAAAUAAGACGAACGAUUAAAGUUUUUUUUAGAUAAUGACGAUUAAAGUUGGACACGAAAACUUACGGCUGCACUUAUU